rnacentral:misc_RNA from 1 species
UCAUUUUGAAAAAAAAAAAAAAAAAAAGAUAACAACCAAGGAAAAAAAAGGUUGUGUAUAUGCACCAUUACAAUAAUCAACUUCAGUCUAUACCACACUAACAGCUCCAUCCUACAACUCAAAAUUGAGUCUCGCCACCUUCAGAUGUAUGUGAAAGAGCAGAGAUUGUGAACAGAAAAAUUAUGUUUUGGCGCGUAACAGAGAGAACUGACCAUCAAUGAGCCCCUGGUUCCCAUGGUGGUAUUGGUGUAUUGUUAGCCUCUUUGUUACGUAUACAUGUUUUCGAGGAUUAAUGGCUGGCUUGCCCACAAUAUUGAAUGCCAUUUGAGCACUAGACACAAUAGCAAGCAAAGAGAAGUUUCAAUCGUAUAUUUUUACUUUAACAAGCUACUACAAUCCUGGCUCGACCAGGAUUAAGAAGUGAGUCUGACAUUCUCCAACCCUGUUCUGCAGCUUUACUUUUAAAAGGACCAUAUAAAGUUGAGACCAUUUUGCAUGAGUCAGUAAUAUGAGCCUCAAUAUCAUUAGCUGAGGGAAUAUAGUUUGAACGGUAUGCUUGCUGCUUCCACGAUGAAGAGUGAAUAUUAUUUGAUGAAUUUAUGAAAUGCAAAAGCACGUGAGCGUGGAAUGCAGCUUUUAGAAUGUCAUCUGACUUUGCCUGAUCCUUAAGCAAUGCAUAGACCUUAUCCUUUAAUGGAUUGUACGUCACUAUAUAUCUUUCUUGCUCAAAAAGAGGCUUUAUUGCAAGAUAUGCACUAGGGUCUUGAAAAGCAUCUUUAAAUCUUGGUCCUAGAACAAUAGGCCUCUCCUUCAACCAUGGAAAGCUGAAUAUAUUUUCUUUCAUAUUUCCCUCUUGCAAUGAGGGCACUUUCCCUGUCUNNNNNNNNNNNNNCCACUGCCACACUGAAUCUGGCCCGGUUCAAGGUGUGCAACACUACAGAUUUAACCUC